AAUUAACGAAUCGAUAGAAUAACUUUAAAAAGAAAUUAAAUUUAAAUUCAUUUAGUAAACGAACUUUUCCAUCUUAACACAAAUUAUUAAUUAUUAUUGUAACAAUAGCAUUAAGUUACAGUUUGUAAUACGAAAAAAAAAUGUGCGCACUUGCGCAAAACGGAAACGAUAAUUACCAUAGGGAAAUAAUACGAAAGUUACGAAGGAAGAAAUUCUAUAGUCUGGUAAACCGCAAGUGGACCAAUGAAGAGGUUGAAUCAUGAGUGGCGAGAGGAACAAUAAAUCCUUCAUAUCGCACUGAGUAUUAUAAUUAAUGAACCCUUGAAAAUGGAAAAAAAUUAGGAAGAAGGAAAAUACGAUUGAAACGAGAGAUCGUGCUUCAAAUUACGACAAGUUGAUGUAGUCAAGGUAAAAUGCGAUUAUAACCUCAUAAAUUAAAUCGUUCUCAAAUUUUUUUUUGAGAUGAAAUACAUUUAUAAGUUUUUGUUAAAUCAAAUUUAAUAAAUCUCUUUUAAAUCUAUCAUUUUGAACACGUAAAUGUACAUAAUAUGUAUCAUUUAUGUCAUCUGUCAUUUUAUGUAGAAAGAUUAUAAACGAAUUUCAUAAAUAUAUAUUUCGAUUAUGACAAGGUGCAUGCACAAUGUAACUUUGCAGCUGCAUGUAUGAUACAUGUCACAGAAUUGGUUGCAGUGACAUGAUCAUAGCAAAUCCUAUAACUGUAAAUAUUUUACACAUGAUUCUCGUGUGCAUCGUUCCGCUACAUGAACGUGUAUAACGUGUCAAUGGCAGCCGUUAUCUUAUUGGUCGUUCUAUUAACCCAUGAAACAAACAAGGCCUACCGUGCUCGUAUAACAUCGCGGUAUACAUCAUCGAUGGACUGCUUCCAAUAAACUAUAGCAGCAGUUUCUGCCAAGUCAUUAAUCAUUCAGAAGACGGUGCCAAAGAGAGUAAUAUCGAAUAGUACGGAAACUGAAAUCCCUUUGGACUAAUCGUUUAAAAGUUUCUUCCAACACAAAAUUCCUACAUGCAUAAUUCAUAUAAUAGCAAUUCCUUUUCUCAAUUAAAUUUAAUUAUGUAAUUAUUUGAAAUUUAUUAUCAACAUCUGAUUCAACAUUACUAUUCGUAUUUAAUGUGGAUUGUAUUUAUAUAGUUGUAUAUGAAAAUUAGUAAAUAAGA